ACCGGGCAUGGUGGCGCAUACUUGUAGUCCCAGCUACUUGGGAGACUGAGGUGGGAGGAUCACUUGAGCUCAGGAUUUCUGGGCUGUAGUGCACUAUGCCAGUCGGGUGUCCACACAAAGUUUGGCAUCAAUAUGGUGAGCUCCCGGGAGCAGGGGACCACCAGGUUGCCUAAGGAGGGGUGAACCAGCCCAGGUCGGAAAUGGAGCAGGUCGAAACUCCAGUGCUGAUCAGUAGUGGGAUUGCACCUGUGAAUAGCCACUGCACUCCAGCCUGGGCAACAUAGGGAGACCCUGUCUUU
rnacentral:SRP_RNA from 1 species